rnacentral:rRNA from 1 species
UACGUAGGCAGCAAGCGUUGUUCGGAGUUCCUGGGCGUAAAGAGUGCGUAGGUGGUGCCCUAAGUCUGUUGUGAAAUCUCCCGGCUUAACUGGGAGGGUGCGGUGGAAACUGGGGUGCUUGAGUGUGGGAGAGGUAAGCGGAAUUCCUGGUGUAGCGGUGAAAUGCGUAGAUAUCAGGAGGAACACCGGUGGUGUAGACGGCUUACUGGACCACGACUGACACUGAGGCACGAAAGCGUGGGUAGCAAACAGG